rnacentral:rRNA from 1 species
GGGUUGUGAGGUUAAGCGACUAAGCGUACACGGUGGAUGCCCUGGCAGUCAGAGGCGAUGAAGGACGUGCUAAUCUGCGAAAAGCGUCGGUAAGGUGAUAUGAACCGUUACAGCCGGCGAUGUCCGAAUGGGGAAACCCAGUGCAAUUCGUUGCACUAUCGUUAACUGAAUACAUAGGUUAACGAGGCGAACCGGGGGAACUGAAACAUCUAAGUACCCCGAGGAAAAGAAAUCAACCGAGAUUCCCCCAGUAGCGGCGAGCGAACGGGGAGCAGCCCAGAGUCUGAAUCAGCUUGUGUGUUAGUGGAACGGUCUGGAAAGUCCGACGGUACAGGGUGAUAGUCCCGUACACCAAAAUGCACAGGUUGUGAACUCGAAGAGUAGGGCGGGACACGUGGUAUCCUGUCUGAAUAUGGGGGGACCAUCCUCCAAGGCUAAAUACUCCUGACUGACCGAUAGUGAAUCAGUACCGUGAGGGAAAGGCGAAAAGAACCCCGGCGAGGGGAGUGAAAAAGAACCUGAAACCGUGUACGUACAAGCAGUGGGAGCACCUUCGGGUGUGACUGCGUACCUUUUGUAUAAUGGGUCAGCGACUUAUAUUCUGUAGCAAGGUUAACCGUAUAGGGGAGCCGCAGGGAAACCGAGUCUUAACUGGGCGUUAAGUUGCAGGGUAUAGACCCGAAACCCGGUGAUCUAGCCAUGGGCAGGUUGAAGGUUGGGUAACACUAACUGGAGGACCGAACCGACUAAUGUUGAAAAAUUAGCGGAUGACUUGUGGCUGGGGGUGAAAGGCCAAUCAAACCGGGAGAUAGCUGGUUCUCCCCGAAAGCUAUUUAGGUAGCGCCUCGUGAACUCAUCUUCGGGGGUAGAGCACUGUUUCGGCUAGGGGGUCAUCCCGACUUACCAACCCGAUGCAAACUACGAAUACCGAAGAAUGUUAUCACGGGAGACACACGGCGGGUGCUAACGUCCGUCGUGAAGAGGGAAACAACCCAGACCGCCAGCUAAGGUCCCAAAGUCAUGGUUAAGUGGGAAACGAUGUGGGAAGGCACAGACAGCCAGGAUGUUGGCUUAGAAGCAGCCAUCAUUUAAAGAAAGCGUAAUAGCUCACUGGUCGAGUCGGCCUGCGCGGAAGAUGUAACGGGGCUAAACCAUGCACCGAAGCUGCGGCAGCGACACUAUGUGUUGUUGGGUAGGGGAGCGUUCUGUAAGCCUGCGAAGGUGACCUGUGAGGGUUGCUGGAGGUAUCAGAAGUGCGAAUGCUGACAUAAGUAACGAUAAAGCGGGUGAAAAGCCCGCUCGCCGGAAGACCAAGGGUUCCUGUCCAACGUUAAUCGGGGCAGGGUGAGUCGACCCUAAGGCGAGGCCGAAAGGCGUAGUCGAUGGGAAACAGGUUAAUAUUCCUGUACUUGGUGUUACUGCGAAGGGGGGACGGAGAAGGCUAUGUUAGCCGGGCGACGGUUGUCCCGGUUUAAGCAUGUAGGCUGGUUAUCCAGGCAAAUCCGGAUAAUCAAGGCUGAGGUGUGAUGACGAGGCACUACGGUGCUGAAGUAACAAAUGCCCUGCUUCCAGGAAAAGCCUCUAAGCAUCAGGUAACAUCAAAUCGUACCCCAAACCGACACAGGUGGUCAGGUAGAGAAUACCAAGGCGCUUGAGAGAACUCGGGUGAAGGAACUAGGCAAAAUGGUGCCGUAACUUCGGGAGAAGGCACGCUGGUGUGUAGGUGAAGUCCCUGCGGAUGGAGCUGAGACCAGUCGAAGAUACCAGCUGGCUGCAACUGUUUAUUAAAAACACAGCACUGUGCAAACACGAAAGUGGACGUAUACGGUGUGACGCCUGCCCGGUGCCGGAAGGUUAAUUGAUGGGGUUAUCCGUAAGGAGAAGCUCUUGAUCGAAGCCCCGGUAAACGGCGGCCGUAACUAUAACGGUCCUAAGGUAGCGAAAUUCCUUGUCGGGUAAGUUCCGACCUGCACGAAUGGCGUAAUGAUGGCGAGGCUGUCUCCACCCGAGACUCAGUGAAAUUGAACUCGCUGUGAAGAUGCAGUGUACCCGCGGCAAGACGGAAAGACCCCGUGAACCUUUACUAUAGCUUGACACUGAACAUUGAGCCUUGAUGUGUAGGAUAGGUGGGAGGCUUUGAAGCGUGGACGCCAGUCUGCGUGGAGCCAACCUUGAAAUACCACCCUUUAAUGUUUGAUGUUCUAACGUUGGCCCCUUACCGGGGUUGCGGACAGUGUCUGGUGGGUAGUUUGACUGGGGCGGUCUCCUCCCAAAGCGUAACGGAGGAGCACGAAGGUUAGCUAAUCCUGGUCGGACAUCAGGAGGUUAGUGCAAUGGCAUAAGCUAGCUUGACUGCGAGCGUGACGGCGCGAGCAGGUGCGAAAGCAGGUCAUAGUGAUCCGGUGGUUCUGAAUGGAAGGGCCAUCGCUCAACGGAUAAAAGGUACUCCGGGGAUAACAGGCUGAUACCGCCCAAGAGUUCAUAUCGACGGCGGUGUUUGGCACCUCGAUGUCGGCUCAUCACAUCCUGGGGCUGAAGUAGGUCCCAAGGGUAUGGCUGUUCGCCAUUUAAAGUGGUACGCGAGCUGGGUUUAGAACGUCGUGAGACAGUUCGGUCCCUAUCUGCCGUGGGCGCUGGAGAAUUGAGGGGGGCUGCUCCUAGUACGAGAGGACCGGAGUGGACGCAUCACUGGUGUUCGGGUUGUCAUGCCAAUGGCACUGCCCGGUAGCUAAAUGCGGAAGAGAUAAGUGCUGAAAGCAUCUAAGCACGAAACUUGCCCCGAGAUGAGUUCUCCCUGAGACUUUAAGUCUCCUGAAGGAACGUUAAAGACGAUGACGUUGAUAGGCCGGGUGUGUAAGCGCAGCGAUGCGUUGAGCUAACCGGUACUAAUGAACCGUGAGGCUUAACCUUACAACGCCGAAG